CAUCAUGCCAAGGAGAGAAGGCAUUGUUCUCCAGCUAUAGGAGCAUCCCAUGACGAUUAGUAAGUGGAUCUGGACAGAGGUGGCUGACCUGAACCUGCAAUCGUGUAUUUAAAAAAAAAUGUUUGAUGGUUUCACUAGAGCAUCAAGGGAGAAGACAAUGCAUAAUGCUCGUGAGAAGGCUAAGAUUGGAGACCUGGAUGAAGAACUCAAGCCAGCAAGAAGUCAUGAUGAACAGUGACUAGCUUAUGACCAUUGGGUAAGAUAAGGUCCUUUUCAACAAUGAGAUUCUUGAAAAAGAGAUGUUGGUGGAAGAUAAUUGUUUUGAGCAUGCAAUAUUAUGUGCUAUAUCCAUCAUAGUUUCCAGAUUUGACACACCACUUCGGUUAGAAAGCAAAGCAGAGAGGUAUACACGCGGUGAAACUACACUAG